ACCUGCCAAGGGUGGCAGGUUCGAAUCCAGCCCUGGCCAAACUGCAACGAAAAAUAGCUGGGCAUUGUGGCAGGUGCCUGUAGUCCCAGCUACUCAGGAGGCUGAGGCAAGAGAAUCACUUAAGCCCAGGAGUUGAAAGUUUCUGUGAGCUGUGACACCACGGCACUCUACCGAGGGCAAUAAAGUGAGACUCUGUUUCUAAAAAAAAAUAAAAAUAUCAGUGGAAUGUUCUGACAGAGGCUGGUAGUCCCAGCUACAUGGGAGGUAGAGGUGAGGUGGCUGUGAGCUGUCAUGGAACUCUAGCCUGGGCGACAGAGUCAGACUCUGUCUCAAAAACAAAAAAAGAAUACAACUCAGUAACCAGGUAGAACAAGUGGGCGAGGUGUGCCUCCCUAUCCCACAUAAUUGCAGAAUCUCUGGGACACCACCCACCCUGUACCCACAUGCUGUCACCCAUGCAGCAACUCUCCGAACCCUGUCCUGCCUUUAGGAGUUUAAUGGCAGCUGCAUUACAUAGGCAUGAUUUGCAAUCAUUGGCCAUGGUGAUUAGUUUAAUCUCUAUCCCCUCCCUGGAUGUGGAGCAGACAGAAAGGUGCAGCCCUUUAGCCACAUGGUUGGUUCCCCUGACUGCCAGCCCCGUGCUCCGACAAGAGUCACGUCAUUAUCAGGAACUCGGGUGUGGUGGAAAGAGGCGUACUAUGAACGAUAAAGGACACUUUUCUCAUCUGGGAAAUUUUAGAAGCUUUGUGCCAGGAACCCCAGGGAAAGCCCAGAUCACAAUAUCACAACCUCUAACUUUCAUCAUUCCACCGUGUAUCAUCAGCGUGUCCGUAUCUACCCGAAUGUUGGGUUUCUUAACACUGGCUAAUAUUCCAUCCCGCGCAGGCAGCUUCACGUUUCCCAGAGUCCUCCAUGAUUGGACAUGCACCUUGUUCCUAUUCCCUUUGCCGUCACAGAAAGUGCUGUUGUGUAUAUCUUGUGCCAUCAGGGUGGGGUCACCUGUGGGAUAAAUUGCUAAGAGUGGAAACACCUUUUGUGUUUUCAGUAGCUAUUGCUAAGUGUGCCUUCCCACUGACAGCAUACGAGAGCCUCCUCCCCAACACACAAAUGCACACUCCACCACUUGGUGUUUUUCAAGAAAUAGAUGCUGGAAAGCAGAUGGUGGGGUUGGGAUAUUUGGAUCUGAGGGGAUCCAAAAAUUUGGCCCAAAAAAGAAAAAGCAGAAUAAGGAAUGAGGAAGACCUUCUGGGAGAGGCCGAGGGGUCAGGAAAAUGGCGUUCCAUUUGCUCACUCAACAAACACUCAGCACUGCCAAUGGCCCAGAAGGAGCCCAGCACUGGGCUGAGGAUGAAAUAGAGUCACUGCCCUCAGGCUGACACAUUGGAGAGAGUGCUAAGAGCUGGGAAGAUAAUGAGUUCUGGGAGCAGAAAGGUUCCUGAGUGAGGCCUGCGGAGUUCCUGGUGUUUGGAUUUGGUAUCAGAUGCAAUGGGGUGGCCCUGAAGCUUCUAAUGGAGGGAGUGGGUGAUCUGAUUUGCCAAAGGCUCCUCUGACUGGGGGAGCAGGGCCUAUGAGUCCACCAGAGACAGCAUGGCUUGGACAAGGCCGGGGAGUUGCACGGUAAGGGCAGGAGAAGAGAAGGUGGAACAAGCACAACACUGGGGCUUGAGAAUUUCUAAGAGUCUCUACCAUCCUCAGAGAAGGGAAAGUACAGGAAAAAGCUCUUGGGGUGACUUUCCUGGUCACCGAUUGCGUGUAACAAACUACCUUUUAUGGCUGGAAACAAUGGCCAUUUGUUCCAUGUCACGAUUUUAUGAGUCAGGAAUUUGGUCAGGUCUCCAUAGGUGAUUCUUCUGUUCUGUGUGUCCUCACUAAUGACUGUCCUCUCAGUGAGAUUCACUGGAGGCUGGGCUAGGCUGGAGCCCAAGACUCUUUCCCUCACAGGCCUGGAAUAGCAGGAUUGCCAUUGGCUAGCCUGGGCUUCCUCACACUAUGGUGGCCUCAGAGUGAUCGGACUGAUAUGGCAGCACAGGACAUCUAAGAGAGAGGAGAGAGUGUCCCUAAAAACUGGAAGUGGAAACUGCCCGUUUUACAAAGCUUGGGAACUGGCCCCAAGGCACAAGGAAUUCCCAAGGCAAGUAGCCCCAAAGCACAAGAAAUUCCAGGGGAGGAACAUAGACCUCCCACCUUGCAAUGGGAGAGAGGUGUCAAUGAAUUUCACUAUCUUUCAUUUCCUACAGUGACCCCUGACAUCCUUCUCUUGGCAGUGGGUGUCAUAUUAUGUACUGUGGUCAAUUUAACCUGGCUUUUCACGUAGCAUGUUACGUUCUCAAGCCCUAGGCUCAAGGAAGAAAUGCCACUUUCCUGGAAGCCAUGGCAUCCUAUUUUGAUGAACAUGACUGUGAAUUGCUGGAUGUCGAGCAAGAGACACGAACCAACACGCUACUGGAGCUUGCAAGGUCACUUUUCCAUAGUGUGGACUUUGAAGAUCUGGGGUUGAUAGUAGAUUGGGAACACCACCUGCCUCCACCUGCUGCCAAGACUGUGGUCCAGAACCUCUCCAGGACAAUUAUCAGAGGCCCUCAGGCUAAGCUCAAGUGCCGUGUGUCCCUUUUGGAAUUCAAGGAGGAGGAGGAGACUGUCAUUGAGAUGCCUUGCCAUCACUUCUUCCAUUCCAGCUGCAUUCUGCCCUGGCUAAGCAAGACAAAUACUUGCGCCGCCAUGAGCUGCCCACUGAUGAUGAUGCUUAUGAAGAGCACAGACGAGAUAAGGCUCAAAAGCAGCAGCAGCAGCAGCAACUGGAGAACCUCCAUGCAGCCAUGUACAUGUGAGGAGGCUGGGGCUGAGCACUGGCCCUCUAAGUCUUCCUCUUGUACCUUAAGUCCUCAUUAAAAGUUUCUCUAC